GACGAACGCUGGCGGCGUGCCUAAUACAUGCAAGUAGAACGCUGAAGCUUGGUGCUUGCACCGAGCGGAUGAGUUGCGAACGGGUGAGUAACGCGUAGGUAACCUGCCUGGUAGCGGGGGAUAACUAUUGGAAACGAUAGCUAAUACCGCAUAAGAGUAGAUGUUGCAUGACAUUUGCUUAAAAGGUGCAAUUGCAUCACUACCAGAUGGACCUGCGUUGUAUUAGCUAGUUGGUGAGGUAACGGCUCACCAAGGCAACGAUACAUAGCCGACCUGAGAGGGUGAUCGGCCACACUGGGACUGAGACACGGCCCAGACUCCUACGGGAGGCAGCAGUAGGGAAUCUUCGGCAAAGGACGGAAGUCUGACCGAGCAACGCCGCGUGAGUGAAGAAGGUUUUCGGAUCGUAAAGCUCUGUUGUAAGAGAAGAACGAGUGUGAGAGUGGAAAGUUCACACUGUGACGGUAUCUUACCAGAAAGGGACGGCUAACUACGU
rnacentral:rRNA from 1 species